UGUGGCCUUGAGCCGUGGCUUUCGGAGCUAACGCGUUAAGUAGACCGCCUGGGGAGUACGGUCGCAAGAUUAAAACUCAAAUGAAUUGACGGGGGCCCGCACAAGCGGUGGAGCAUGUGGUUUAAUUCGAUGCAACGCGAAGAACCUUACCUACUCUUGACAUCCAGAGAACUUUCCAGAGAUGGAUUGGUGCCUUCGGGAACUCUGAGACAGGUGCUGCAUGGCUGUCGUCAGCUCGUGUCGUGAGAUGUUGGGUUAA
rnacentral:rRNA from 1 species